GACGAACGCUGGCGGCGUGCUUAACACAUGCAAGUCGAACGGAGUGGCGAACGGGGGAGUAACACGUGGGUGAUCUGCCUUGCACUUCGGGAUAAGCUUGGGAAACUGGGUCUAAUACCGGAUAGUGCAAGAUGAGCUCGCGGCCUAUCAGCUUGUUGGUGGGGUAAUGGCGUCCCAAGGCGUCGACGGGUAGCCGGCCUGAGAGGGUGUACGGCCCCAUUGGGACUGGGAUACGGGCCAGGCGCCUACGGGAGGCAGCAGUGGGGAAUAGUGCACACUGGGCGGAAGCCUGAUGCAGCGACGCCGGGUGGGGGAUGUAGGCCUUCGGGUUGUAAACUCCUUGCGACAGGGACGCGGUACCUGUAUAAGAAGCACCGGCUAACUACGUGCCAGCAGCCGCGGUAAUAC
rnacentral:rRNA from 1 species